AAUAACCAAAUAUAACWACUUGGGCUAAGGGUCAAGUUGGUUAAUUUUCUUACAUCYUCCCCSUCCGGGAGCCCAGGUAUCAUAUACGCCGACCAAAWUAAAGAGCCUUGAAUACUAGAAGAAAGCACCUAUACACUAACAAGAUUAAGUAGAACUAACCCUAAAAUUGUGGUCUAUUUUAUUUCUAUCUUYCYA
rnacentral:antisense_RNA from 11 species